UCUCGCGUUCAGUCCAUCAUUUUCACGUCUCUCGCGCUCGGCGCUUGUUUGCUGACGAACAAAAACGCGAAAGGAUGUAAAUGAAUGAAAGGAAAGCGGCUCGCGCACGCAGAGCGCGAACAAAAGCAGUUGAGCCACAAUGGAGGAGCGUUUAGCAGUGCGUGUGAUGCUGCAGAGCCUCCUCUAACUUUCAUCCUUCACUUUCAUUUGAAUCCGAAGACACGAGGACGCGCACGUUUUGAAAGUGUCUCACAGAUGAGCUCUGCUUCAGUACAGUGGUGAAAGAUGAACUGAGUUGAUCUGAUCCUCUGUGGAGCUUCGCUGAUGUCACUUCCUGUAAGUGAAGUGAUUCGAGAAAUGCCCAUGCCUUUAUUUUCAAAAUAUGCAUAGCUGUACUUCACACACUCAUCUCAAAGUCUCUAGAUGAAUUAUAAAAUCUGUAAAUGAAUAUUUCAAUAAAACUACCUGUAUGUUAGAUUCACUAAUGCAAUGAGCCUCAGAAACUCACCUGAUUCUGUAAUUAAUACUGUAAUGAGUAACUGCAUAUCAGUGAAGCUGUAACUCAUCAUCGUGUGCUCGAGUAAAGCUGAAUGUGUGAUGAUCUUCAAUAAAGCUUCUACA